AUACUCACCUGGCAGGGGAGACGCCAUGAUCACAAAGGUGGUUUUCCCAGGGCCAAGCUUAUCCAUUGCACUCUGGAUGUGCUGACCCCUGCGAUUUUCCCCAAUUUGGGAAACUCAACUGCAUAAUUUGUGGUAGUGGAGGACUGUGUUCAAGCUCUUCCCUGCA
ensembl:snRNA U1 U1 spliceosomal RNA